rnacentral:rRNA from 1 species
AACACAUGCAAGUCGAGGGGCAGCGGGAACUUAGCUUGCUAAGUUUGCCGGCGACCGGCGCACGGGUGAGUAACACGUAUCCAACCUUCCCUCCACUCCGGGACAGCCUUUCGAAAGAAAGAUUAAUACCGGAUGGCAUGGUUUUCCCGCAUGGGAUUUCCAUUAAAGAUUUAUCGGUGGCGGAUGGGGAUGCGUUCCAUUAGGCAGUUGGCGGGGUAACGGCCCACCAAACCUACGAUGGAUAGGGGUUCUGAGAGGAAGGUCCCCCACAUUGGAACUGAGACACGGUCCAAACUCCUACGGGAGGCAGCAGUGAGGAAUAUUGGUCAAUGGCCGGGAGGCUGAACCAGCCAAGUAGCGUGAAGGAUGACCGCCCUACGGGUUGUAAACUUCUUUUAUACGGGAAUAACAUCCGCCACGUGUGGCGGCCUGCAUGUACCGUAUGAAUAAGCAUCGGCUAACUCCGUGCCAGCAGCCGCGGUAAUACGGAGGAUGCGAGCGUUAUCCGGAUUUAUUGGGUUUAAAGGGAGCGUAGACGGGUCUUUAAGUCAGUUGUGAAAGUUUGCGGCUCAACCGUAAAAUUGCAGUUGAUACUGGAGACCUUGAGUGCGGCAGAGGCAGGCGGAAUUCGUGGUGUAGCGGUGAAAUGCUUAGAUAU